rnacentral:rRNA from 1 species
UACGUAGGGUGCGAGCGUUGUCCGGAUUUACUGGGCGUAAAGGGCGCGUAGGCGGCGGGUCAAGGCGAGUGUGAAAGCCCCGGGCUCAACCUGGGAAUUGCGCUCGAGACUGGUCUGCUUGAGUUCGGGAGAGGAGAGUGGAAUUCCCAGUGUAGAGGUGAAAUUCGUAGAUAUUGGGAAGAACACCGGUGGCGAAGGCGGCUCUCUGGACCGAGACUGACGCUGAGGCGCGAAAGCGUGGGGAGCAAACAGG